GGACCGUGGCUCAGUGGUGACGUAUCUGCUUUGCACACAGAAGGUCCCACGUUCAAUCCCUGGAAUCUCCA